UGCAACGUUUGUCCAACUCCCAGCCAGCUCCAAGGAGCCAUCGGGAGGGGAGCAGAUAGCGCCAGAGAGAUUUCCGUCGCCGUCUCCCUCCUCUCUCUCUCUCUUUCUCUCUCCCUCUCUCUUCUUUAUCUCCCCCCCCGGCUCCCGAUGGCCUCCCCCCACCCACCCAAUUGAGGCCCUCCCCCCCAAAGCCCCCACCCCUCCCCACACGCCCUGGUCGUCGUCCUCCUCCUCCCCCAUUUUCGCAGGCCAAGGAUCCAGCCAGGGGGAGCUGGCUGGUUAGGCAUCUCCUCCCCCCCUCUCCCCUCCUCCCUCGCCCCCUCAAAAGGGCCGCUCAGCGCGCUGCGGGUUGGCCCCCGAGAUGAUGCAGCAGGACGAGUCGAACUCUCCAGUCUCGCCCGCCGACGACAGCCUGAGCAACAGCGAGGAGGAGCCCGACCGGCAGCAGCAGCUUCAGGGUGCUGGGAAGCGAGGGGGACGCAAGAGGCGAUCGAGUCGCAGGAGCGCCACCGGGGCCGGUGGUGGUGGAGGAGGAGGAGGCGCAGGAGGAGGCGCCGGCGGGGGGAUCGGAUCGGCGGAGGAGCCGUGCAGCCCGGCGCAAGGCAAGCGAGGCAAGAAAUCCGGCGGGAGCGGCGGCGGCGGCAGCAGCAGCGGCGGCGGCAGCCCGCAGUCCUACGAGGAGCUCCAGACUCAGCGGGUGAUGGCCAACGUCCGGGAGCGGCAGCGCACCCAGUCGCUGAACGAAGCCUUUGCGGCGCUGCGCAAAAUCAUCCCGACCCUGCCGUCGGACAAGCUGAGCAAGAUCCAGACGCUCAAACUGGCCGCCCGCUACAUCGACUUCCUCUACCAGGUCCUGCAGAGCGACGAACUCGACUCCAAGAUGGCCAGCUGCAGCUAUGUGGCCCACGAGCGCCUCAGCUACGCCUUCUCGGUCUGGCGCAUGGAAGGAGCCUGGUCCAUGUCUGCCUCUCACUAGCGACCCGCUCCGCCCGGCCCGGCCGGAGACCGAGGUGUGUGUGUCUAUGCGUGUCCCAGAGGCGGUCGCUGGAAGGCCCUUUGAAGUGGCUAGUUAAGGAACCGCCCAAGGGCGCCGGUCCAUAGGAUCCUGCAGGGUGGGGGGGAGCCUCUCUGGUAGGGAGAAGGCCGCCAGAGCUAUGCCUCCAGUUUCGGAGAUGCUGAGGCUUGCCCGCCACUCUGACGCCUCCUUAACCUCCCGCUUCUUCCGGAGUAAGUCCCUCUGGGCUCCAGAGUGGACUAGCUUUUUCUGCACGGAAAGAACAGAAAAGUCGACAGGCGAGAGUCACACUCCUUGCCCUCUCCACCUUUCAAAUAUAUAAGGCAGCCUUUCCAAAGAAGCACGCUUAGCCCGAAGCAGUCCAUCUUGAAUGUUUUGGCCUUGUAAAGGAAUGGAUUGCCCUCUGCGGGAUGAAAGAAAGUCAGACCAGGCCGAGCGAGCGAAGCGAAUAUGAAGUCCCCCUGGGUGCCAGAGGUGUCCCACCUAGAAAGAUGACAUUGUUCCCAAAGAAGACGAGAAAAUGGACAAUCUAGAGACUCUGCACUUGGAUUCGGCUCCCCUCCUUCCCCUCUUUUUUUCUUUGUCCCCUCUCUAAGACAAUAUAAUGCCAAGGAUUUUCUUGGAAGUUCAGACACGUUCUUGGCCCGCGUUGCAAGGAGCAGGGCACGGGGAGGCCAUUCGAGGCGAGAGACCCAGGAUGGUGAGGCGGCUGGUCCAGAGCGAGAGCCGGCUGAACGGCCUGCCAGACAUCUCUGCAUUCUGAUCAAAAUCUGAACCGGUUUUAUUUUUUAUUUUUUCUAUUUUGACGAAGAAUGUUGGAAUUUAACUUUUUUUCCUUUACUUCCUUUUUUUUUGUUCUUGCAUGCAUGCAUUCCCAAGAGAGUUUAUGAGCCACUCAUGAAAGGAAAUACAUUACUGUGGACUCCCCCCCCAAUACUCUCUUUUUGAACCGAUCUAAUGACAGCGAAACAAACAAACAAAAACCAGUUAAGAAGAAGUGAGGAAGGAAAAAUCUAUUUUAAAAGGAAAAACGUUUAGGGUAGCUAUGCAUUAUUGGCUCCAGCUCUUAUAUGCAAACCUAUCCGGCUCCUCUUUCGUGUUUUAUUUUUGUUUUUUGUUUUUCCUGCAAGAAAAAAAGAGGAAAAGCGGGAGGGGGGAGAAAAAAAAUGAAACAUUCUAUUUAUUUAUUGAUGGCCCAUGUUAAAAAUGCAGAUAGAUCCGGUGUCUAAAUGCAUUCCUAUUUUUAUGAUUGUUUUGUAAAUAUCAUUGUAUAUUUUUUUCCUGCAAUAAAUCAAUUGAAUUGUUAAAGAAA